UACGUAGGGUGCAAGCGUUGUCCGGAAUUAUUGGGCGUAAAGAGCUCGUAGGCGGUCUGUCGCGUCGGCUGUGAAAACCUGGGGCUUAACUCCGGGCUUGCAGCCGAUACGGGCAGGCUAGAGUUCGGUAGGGGAGACUGGAAUUCCUGGUGUAGCGGUGAAAUGCGCAGAUAUCAGGAGGAACACCGAUGGCGAAGGCAGGUCUCUGGGCCGAUACUGACGCUGAGGAGCGAAAGCGUGGGGAGUGAACAGG
rnacentral:rRNA from 1 species